rnacentral:rRNA from 1 species
UGGGGAAUAUUGGACAAUGGGCGAAAGCCUGAUCCAGCCAUGACGCGUGUGUGAAGAAGGUCUUCGGAUUGUAAAGCACUUUAAGUUGGGAGGAAGGGCAUUAACCUAAUACGUUAGUGUUUUGACGUUACCGACAGAAUAAGCACCGGCUAACUCUGUGCCAGCAGCCGCGGUAAUACAGAGGGUGCAAGCGUUAAUCGGAAUUACUGGGCGUAAAGCGCGCGUAGGUGGUUUGUUAAGUUGGAUGUGAAAUCCCCGGGCUCAACCUGGGAACUGCAUUCAAAACUGACUGACUAGAGUAUGGUAGAGGGUGGUGGAAUUUCCUGUGUAGCGGUGAAAUGCGUAGAUAUAGGAAGGAACACCAGUGGCGAAGGCGACCACCUGGACUAAUACUGACACUGAGGUGCGAAAGCGUGGGGAGCAAACA